rnacentral:rRNA from 1 species
UACGGAGGAUCCGAGCGUUAUCCGGAUUUAUUGGGUUUAAAGGGUGCGUAGGUGGCCUAUUAAGUCAGGGGUGAAAGACGGUAGCUUAACUAUCGCAGUGCCUUUGAUACUGAUGGGCUUGAAUACAGUUGAAGUGGGCGGAAUGUGACAAGUAGCGGUGAAAUGCAUAGAUAUGUCACAGAACACCGAUUGCGAAGGCAGCUCACUAAAGUGUGAUUGACACUGAGGCACGAAAGCGUGGGGAUCAAACAGG